GGCACAGAGGACUCCUUCUCCACUUGAAACUAGUUCAAGUUGGAUAAGUAUCCAAUCCAAAUUGACCCAAUCCUAUUAGGUCAAAAACAACUGGUCAAGGUUAGCUCAAACAAUUUGAUCUAAACCAAUUUGGGAACUUGGAUUAAUACAAUAUGCUAGCAUAUCAAAUUAACCCAUAGAAUUUAUAUUAAACUCUAAUGAGAUCAGACUAAGGCCAAAUCCCAAAGUGUGUGAUCUAUUGGGUUUCAAAUAUAGCCAGCUGUUGGGUAUAAAAUACCC
rnacentral:lncRNA from 1 species